rnacentral:rRNA from 1 species
AUGGACCUACGGGACGCAGCAGUGGGGAAUAUUGCACAAUGGGGGAAACCCUGAUGCAGCGACGCCGCGUGAAGGAAGAAGUAUUUCGGUAUGUAAACUUCUAUCAGCAGGGAAGAAAAUGACGGUACCUGACUAAGAAGCCCCGGCUAACUACGUGCCAGCAGCCGCGGUAAUACGUAGGGGGCAAGCGUUAUCCGGAUUUACUGGGUGUAAAGGGAGCGUAGGCGGUGCAGCAAGUCAGAAGUGAAAGCCCGGGGCUCAACUCCGGGACUGCUUUUGAAACUGUUGA